AGGACUGUAGCUCAGUGGCAGAAUAUAUACUUUGCAUGCAAAAGGUCUCAGGUUGAAUCCCUGGCAGCUCCA